CUGGCUCAGGACGAACGCUGGCGGCGUGCCUAAUACAUGCAAGUCGAACGGUCUUUCUAUGGAAGCUUGCUUCCACUGAGAAGAUAGUGGCGGACGGGUGAGUAACACGUGGGUAACCUGCCCAUAAGAGGGGGGAUAACAUCCGGAAACGGGUGCUAAUACCGCAUAGUUUCUUAAUCGCAUGAUUGAGAAAGGAAAGACGGCCUUUGUGCUGUCGCUUAUGGAUGGACCCGCGGCGUAUUAGUUAGUUGGUGAGGUAACGGCUCACCAAGACGAUGAUACGUAGCCGACCUGAGAGGGUGAUCGGCCACAUUGGGACUGAGACACGGCCCAAACUCCUACGGGAGGCAGCAGUAGGGAAUCUUCCGCAAUGGACGAAAGUCUGACGGAGCAACGCCGCGUGAGUGAAGUAAAGGUUUUCGGAUCGUAAAACUCUGUUGUCAGAGAAGAACAAGUCGGAGAGUAACUGCUCCGGCCUUGACGGUAUCUGACCAGAAAGCCACGGCUAACUACGUGCCAGCAGCCGC
rnacentral:rRNA from 1 species